rnacentral:rRNA from 1 species
CCUACGGGUGGCAGCAGUGAGGAAUAUUGGUCAAUGGGCGAGAGCCUGAACCAGCCAAGUCGCGUGAAGGAUGACGGCCCUACGGGUUGUAAACUUCUUUUGUCAGGGAGCAAUUGGGUCCACGCGUGGGCUUAGCGAGAUUACCUGAAAAAAAAGCAUCGGCUAACUCCGUGCCAGAAGCCGCGGUAAUACGGAGGAUGCGAGCGUUAUCCGGAUUUAUUGGGUUUAAGGGGUGCGUAGGCGGAAUAUCAGGUCAGCGGUAAAGAUUCGGGGCUAAACCCCGUCGUGCCGUUGAAACUGAUGGUCUUGAGUGGGCGAGAAGUAUGCGGAAUGCGUGGUGUAGCGGUGAAAUGCAUAGAUAUCACGCAGAACUCCGAUUGCGAAGGCAGCAUACCGGCGCCCAACUGACGCUGAAGCACGAAAGCGUGGGUAUCGAACAGGAUUAGAUACCCCGGUAGUC